CCGGCCGCGGUGGCGCGCCCGGGCUGCGCGCUGGGACCGGCUGCGUCUGUGCCGCUUUCAGCCCUGGCUGACAGCAGCAUCUGCACUGCUGAAGGCUCGAAGACGGCAAGUGACCAUUGCUGGAUUUCAGGAACAUUCUGUUUCCCAAAAUCAAAAGCAGUCUCCUGUUCUUGGUCUCUGCUACACUGCUUAAUCUGGAGAAACCAUAAAUUGCAAGAAUUCAUAUGGAGGGGCUUGACAGCUGGCCUGCAAACAAAGCUGAGUUAGUAGAAGAAAUAACAAUUGAUGAUUUUCGAGUGUAUCCAUAGCAAGGAAGAAGACAAGGCCAUCAGCAUGGGAACAGAUUAGAAAAGAUCCAUGAAAAUUUUUGUAAGUUAGACUACGUGCAUAAGAAAAUGUGUAUACAUGCUUUAUUAAAUGUCUGUAAAACUUCUGCCAGUUAUAUUGAUGUUAAUUGCUUUGCACCAAUGAAUAUAAUAAGUUAUUGUGAUAUAGUUAAUGACUUAAGAUCACACUUUGUUAAGAGUAUAUAAGUUGGAGAACAUGUGAAUAAAAUAUUUUUCUUCUUGGAUCCUUA